GUGAGGAAUAUUGGUCAAUGGCCGAGAGGCUGAACCAGCCAAGUAGCGUGCAGGACGACGGCCCUACGGGUUGUAAACUGCUUUUGCGGGAGGAUAAAGGACACUACGUGUAGUGUUUUGCAGGUAUCCCGUGAAUAAGGACCGGCUAAUUCCGUGCCAGCAGCCGCGGUAAUACGGAAGGUCCGGGCGUUAUCCGGAUUUAUUGGGUUUAAAGGGAGCGCAGGCGGACUGCUAAGCGUGCCGUGAAAGCGCGGGGCUCAACCCCGUACAGCGGCGCGAACUGGCGGUCUUGGUUGCGGGAAGGGGAGGCGGAACUCGUGGUGUAGCGGUGAAAUGCAUAGAUAUCACGAAGAACUCCGAUCGCGAAGGCAGCCUCCCGGCCCGCCAACGACGCUCAUGCUCGAAGGCGCGGGUAUCAAACAGGAUUAGAAACCCUAGUAGUCC
rnacentral:rRNA from 1 species